rnacentral:ncRNA from 1 species
UUAGCAUUCAUUUGCGCUGGUUAGCCUAGUUUCUAGGUAGGGAACACGGUGAGAAUCCGUGACUGACGCGCAGCGGUGAAAGAGAACGAAAGCACAUGGACGUAAGUUCCGAACACUGCUUCAAUGGAAAGGUGCAAUGCCUUUUUGCCGAAGUGGGAAGUUGUUGCCUAGGUGGUUGUCCAACCAUGCUCUUAAGUCCGAAGACCGACCAGUGUGCCGAGUAAUAC